GCGGCGAGCGGCGAACGGGUGAGUAAUGCAUCGGAACGUACCCUGUCGUGGGGGAUAACUAUCCGAAAGGAUGGCUAAUACCGCAUACGACCUGAGGGUGAAAGCGGGGGAUCGCAAGACCUCGCGCGAUAGGAGCGGCCGAUGCCGGAUUAGCUAGUUGGUGAGGUAAAGGCUCACCAAGGCGACGAUCCGUAGCUGGUCUGAGAGGACGACCAGCCACACUGGGACUGAGACACGGCCCAGACUCCUACGGGAGGCAGCAGUGGGGAAUUUUGGACAAUGGGGGAAACCCUGAUCCAGCCAUUCCGCGUGAGUGAAGAAGGCCUUCGGGUUGUAAAGCUCUUUCGGCAGGAACGAAACGGUGGGGGCUAAUAUCCCUUGCUAAUGACGGUACCUGAAGAAGAAGCACCGGCUAACUACGUGCCAGCAGCCGCGGUAAUACGUAGGGUGCGAGCGUUAAUCGGAAUUACUGGGCGUAAAGCGUGCGCAGGCGGUUUUGUAAGACAGAUGUGAAAUCCCCGGGCUUAACCUGGGAACUGCGUUUGUGACUGCAAGACUCGAGUGUGGCAGAGGGGGGUGGAAUUCCACGUGUAGCAGUGAAAUGCGUAGAGAUGUGGAGGAACACCGAUGGCGAAGGCAGCCCCCUGGGUCAACACUGACGCUCAUGCACGAAAGCGUGGGUAGCAAACAGGAUUAGAUACCCUGGUAGUCCACGCCCUAAACGAUGCCAACUAGGUGUUGGGGAAGGAGACUUCCUUAGUACCGUAGCUAACGCGUGAAGUUGGCCGCCUGGGGAGUACGGUCGCAAGAUUAAAACUCAAAGGAAUUGACGGGGACCCGCACAAGCGGUGGAUGAUGUGGAUUAAUUCGAUGCAACGCGAAAAACCUUACCUACCCUUGACAUGCCAGGAACCCUGCUGAGAAG
rnacentral:rRNA from 1 species